GCUAAUACCGCAUAAGACCACGUCAUCGCAUGGUGAUGAGGUAAAAGGAGCGAUCCGGUUUGGGGUGAGUUCGCGUCUGAUUAGCUAGUUGGUGGGGUAACGGCCCACCAAGGCGACGAUCAGUAGCCGGCCUGAGAGGGCGAACGGCCACACUGGGACUGAGACACGGCCCAGACUCCUACGGGAGGCAGCAGUGGGGAAUAUUGGGCAAUGGGGGAAGCCCUGACCCAGCAACGCCGGCGUGAGGGAAGAAGGUUUUCGGAUUGUAAACCUCUGUCCUUGGUGAAGAAGGAAUGGACGGUAAGCCAAAGAGGGAAGCCCCCGGCCAAUUACGGUGCCAGCAGCCGCGGUAAUACGUAGGGGGCGAGCGUUGUCCGGAAUGACUGGGCGUAAAGGGCGCGUAGNCGGCAAUAUAAGUCUGGAGUGAAAGUCCCUUUUUCAAGGAAGGGAUUUGCUUUGGAAACUGUAUAGCUUGAGUGCGGAAGAGGUAAGUGGAAUUCCCAGUGUAGCGGUGAAAUGCGUAGAGA
rnacentral:rRNA from 1 species